UACGUAGGGCGCAAGCGUUGUCCGGAAUUAUUGGGCGUAAAGAGCUCGUAGGCGGUCUGUUACGUCCGCUGUGAAAACCCAGGGCUUAACCCUGGGCUUGCAGUGGAUACGGGCAGACUAGAGGCAGGUAGGGGAGAAUGGAAUUCCCGGUGUAGCGGUGAAAUGCGCAGAUAUCGGGAGGAACACCGGUGGCGAAGGCGCCACUCUGGGCCGGCACUGACGCUGAGGAGCGAAAGCGUGGGUAGCAAACAGG
rnacentral:rRNA from 1 species